rnacentral:pre_miRNA from 1 species
UAUAUACUUCCUCCGUCCAAAAAUACUUGUCGGAGAAAUGCAUUAAAAUGGAUGUAUCUAAAAUUAAAAUACGUCUAGAUACAUCCAUUCCUCCGACAAGUAUUUCCGGAUGGAGGGAGUAUUAU